rnacentral:rRNA from 1 species
UGGGGAAUUUUGCGCAAUGGGGGAAACCCUGACGCAGCAACGCCGCGUGGAGGAUGAAGUCUCUUGGGACGUAAACUCCUUUCGAUCGGGACGAUAAUGACGGUACCGAUAGAAGAAGCCCCGGCUAACUUCGUGCCAGCAGCCGCGGUAAUACGAGGGGGGCAAGCGUUGUUCGGAAUUAUUGGGCGUAAAGGGCGCGUAGGCGGUUUGGCAAGUUUCGUGUGAAAACUUCGGGCUCAACUCGAAGCCUGCACGGAAAACUGCCGGGCUUGAGUAUGGGAGAGGUGAGUGGAAUUUCCGGUGUAGCGGUGAAAUGCGUAGAUAUCGGAAGGAACACCUGUGGCGAAAGCGGCUCACUGGACCAUAACUGACGCUGAGGCGCGAAAGCUAGGGGAGCAAA